AAUCAGGUCAUAAAGGCAGUUAGACCUUUGUGUUGCCAUCGUUCUUGGCGCUCGCUUCACCAAAAGCGCCAAGACCGAUGGCAACAAGGAGGUUUAACCGCCUUCUGAGCUGAUUUUU
rnacentral:pre_miRNA from 1 species